CAUUGUCUGCUAGAGUGCUUAGCUAGGAGUCUGGGGUGAUUUGCCUCUGUGAAGCGUCAGUGUGCAAUAGAACCUCUAGAUUUGGGUGCUUGCGGCCUUUAAACGCGGUGGUGGCAGUUUGUUAAGUUUAGGCGGGUUGGUGCUGUUUGGGGUUUGAUUGCAUGAGUUAGCAAUUAUGAUCAUGAUCAAUUAUGUAUUUAUUAAUAUUCACGAUAAUUUGUAAGCUGAUCAUAUGAAAAAUUUGAGAAUUUAUGUAGUUGUCUAAAAAUUUGAGAAUAUUGCAGGAAAUUCUCGAAAACAAUGUGAAUUUUAAAUGGAUGUUUAUUUCCUUGAAUCCUUCUUUUUUUUCCCAAACAGGAAAAUGGCAUUGGCGCUCAUUCUUGAAAAUAAUAAUGUGAAAUAUAAAAACAAUGAUGGUAUUAACUUCCCCUUGAAAUUGUGUGAAUUGUGUCAGUCUAAAAAAUUCAUAAAUCUCGAACGUUUGUGGGUUUUAAAAAAAAUCUUGAUUUUUUUGAGAAAAAAAACAAAACAAUCAUAUACUGCCAAAACACAUACAUACAUCGUGAAAAAAAUGAAACAUAAAAAAAUUUAACUUUUUUCAGAAAACCUUUGUAAAUGGGCCCCUAAGGAUUUUAGAUCUAUCAUUUAAUAAAAAGGUAUCGUUUAAGCAAAGGGAAAGAGCAAAAGUUGUUUUACACAGCAUAAUAAAUAGGCCCCAAAAUGUAUGUCAGUUUGGCAGAAUUCUGUAAAUCCCUGAAUCAGACUGGAAAGCAAAGAUUGUGGGGAUGCUUCAAAUGGGCCUGGACACCAGUGGGCUCUUUAAAUUACUUCCCAAGCCUGCUUUUGUACAAAUUAACUUCUAGAGGACCUUUUCCCUUAGUAUUGCCUUGCAUCCUUCACUCACACUCAUUAAAGGGGACACAAACUGAGAGAAGAGGAGACAAGAAACCUCCUCAUGAAUAUAACUCAACUGAAAUGGCUCUAACAAAGGCCAUCAGCGAUAUCCAUGCUGCUAAGGACCAGGGACACUAUACUUAUACCAUACUUAGAUUCCUGGAUCUCUCUGCAGCAUUCAAUACAGUUAACCACUGUUUCCGUUUAAAACAUCUCCAAAUGUGUGGUAUCAGUGGUUCUGUUUAUCAUGGUUGGCAUCCUAUCUUUCUAUGCACACCUUCACUGUAACAGUUUUUGACAAUAUAUCUUGACCUGUUGAUCUCUCUGUUUGGGUGACAAGACAAGGGUCUUUCAUAGAGCAUCUUUACAUUCUCUCUAUUGGUGACCUUAUCACAUCUGUUGGCUUCUGCUAUCACCUUCUGUUGAAAAAACAAGUAAGCCUUUUUAUGUCUUUAAAAUUACAACCCCCAGAAUAACAUACCUUAGUUUCUGAAUUCUAAGUUGAAAUCUCAAGCUCCUUUCUGUUACUUCCUGGUACAGGAAUCAGACUGAAUGCAGAGACUAAGGUAUGCUAUUCUGGGGGGUGUUUAGAGUAAUUUUAAAGAUAGAAAAAAAGGUUUACUUCUUUAACAUUACACUUGACAAUGUCACCCUACAUCCAAACUACCAAGGCAGGUGUCUGGGGGUCAACUUAGACCCAUCCCUUACGUUUCAGCCACAUUGCAUCCCUUACCAGAACAUGCUGCUUCUUUCUAAUAAACAUUGUAAAAAUACAUCCCUUACUCUGCCCCUCCGACACUGGUCCAGGCCCUCAUACUUUUCAGAAUAAACUAUUGCAACAUAUUACUAACUGGUCCCCCUUUAAUUACAUCUUUACCCUCUUAAUUCAAUCCUUACUCCUGCUGCCCACCUGCUCACGUGCAUCUAAAUCACUCACCUCCACCUCACAUCUUAGAUCUGUCCCCUGGCUUCUGGUCAAGUGGCAAAUACUGCAAAACUCUUAUCCUGUCCUUCAAAGCCUUUCAUGCUUCUGCUACUUUCUAUAUAUAUCGACUCUCAUCACCUCAUACACUUAUUCCUGGCCUUGCGCAAUCUACUGACUAUACAAUUCACCAAAACAGAAUAUGGCGCAUAUGGGCUUGAUUGCGCCCUGCCUCUCUAAUUGCUCCACCAUCUUGCAUCAGGAUAGCUUCCCUCUCUUUUCCCAUUUCCCACACUUUUCUCUACGCUCUUUAAUCAUAUUCUAGAUGAAGCACUUUGCUAGUCUUCCUCUGCAACUUAUCCUAUGCACAUUUAACCAGCCCCUUUUUGAUUGUAAGCUCUUUUGGUAAGGGUCCUCAUCAUAUAUGUGUAUUUCAACACCUAAGCACUUAAGCAUAGAUUUAUCUGUUUAUACUGUAAUAACCAUUCACUUGUCUGUGUUUACACCUUGUAAAGCACUGUGUAAAAUAGUGGUGCUAUACAAAUAAAUACAUAAAUGCAAAUACAUACAGAAGCCUUACAUACAAGGAUUUACUUUUGAUAUUAAGGGGUCAGCAAUGCAGCCCAUGUCAUGCUGGGGUAAGCAAGAAGACGCAGUUGGCUACCAAAACCCACUACAUUAAUUAGCUGAUGUUUUACAUUUCAAUCACUAGAUGGCACAAAUGUCUUUAAUAUACAAAGCAAGUCUUAUUGGGGAAAGUUUAUAACAGCAGUAACACAAGUGGGCAUGGAGCUUUGUUGUCAGCGCCCUCUAACCAAGAGGUCCAGUAAGUUAGUAGUAUGAAAUCUGAUGGUGGUCCUGUUUAGACCAUAGUAGUCUAGUACCCUCUUUCAGUUUCCCUUUAAUACAGGUUCAGCAUCAAUACAAAGUAUUGUACAUAUGCACGAUUGGCCAAAUUGCCAUAUAUAUAUAUAUAUAUAUAUAUUGCUAUAUGCUAUAUACAUUUCAGCUAUUUCUAUUGUGAUGGGACGGAUCUUUCACCAACAAACAUUUUUUAUGUCCCAUUUUUUUCUCUUUUUCAUGUUUCUCUCCCCCUCCUUUGAGUAAGUAGGUGCACGUGCACAAAGCAUGUCAGACCAGAUUCCCGUUUGUGGAGAAUUAUUGACUUUUUUUGGCAAUGACAUUAUAUAUCCAGUGUUGUAAUCAGAGGGGUUGCCUCUCUUCUUUUCAUCUGCAGAUUCCUGCCAGCCAAGCCUGGAUAUGUGCAGAGCAGAUCUUUAAAUGGAUGCAGGCUCACCCUACUUUUAAUAAAAUGAAUAAAAAUAGUGUGUUUUAGCAGUUCUUUCAUACUUUGAUUUCUAAAUGUUUAUUUCUGGAAGCUGACAGGUGCACUGGGGGUUAAUUAGUAUUAGCUGCUUAAUUUCAUUGAUAUGAGAGGCGUGUUUAUCCAUAAUGCAUUAUUUUCCCCCUUAAUUCCUGUGUAAUUGCGGCCAUGCAGGGGGUUACAUCAGCCACAAAUGCAUUUAAUGUUGCAAUUCUGCUACUGCAUCAGUAGGUCACAAUUCAGAAGAAGAGGCCAGAUGGAUGCAAUGGUGCAACUACAUGGCUGUGCAAGGAAUAAUGUUUGGACACUAAUACCUUUAAUGAAUGGUGUCAACAUAUUCAUUGUUUACAUCCAAUUUAGCUUGACCACACUUGUGGCUGCAUUCUUCAUGGAAUGUUUCCAAGCAUUUUCUCUAGUAAUACUUUCUCUGUAAAUAUCCUGAUGCAGUUUGCUGCUUUAUAACUUGCUUUAUCAAGUUCCUAUAUUUCCCAAGUAUCUACCUUGACCUGACUUCUCUAUUCCUUAUGGUUUUACCCUAGAGUUAAAAUAUAAUGGCCUCAAUUUUUGCAUUCAGCUGUAAAUUCCUUUUGACAGGAGUAAAGAAGGUCACAGAACAACUUAUAGACUUAUACGGACCCCCUUAUGUUUGUAACUAAAGAAACACAUUUAUGGAUGAAUGCUCAGCCGAGAAUCUUACACAUCUCUCUCUUCAGUAUUCCAGAACAACUGCCUGCUUCAGUGACAAAAAGUCUACUUGGAUUUCUACUCAUCACUGAAACUCCUUUCUGGCUUGUUGUCAUCUCCUUCAUUUGCACUUCAGGUUUGCAGAUUUAUCUCUAACUCUAGGUGCCCAAGGUCUGAGCACCACUGGGUCAUAUUUCAGGACAAGGUACAGAAAGUUCUCUUGAGCAAUGUUGAAGAGGGAGAGAGUGCCAAUAUUUUAUGGGUUGCCAAACAGCAAUGACAACAGUUGUAGACAUGCAACUUUUAGUUAUCAAAAGUAUACGAAACUCAUGCAUUCGCCUGUUAUGAUUUUUGCCGAUAUAGUUGCCAAAAUGACAAGCUCAGCAUCCUAGAAAGUCUGGCUGUUGCCUGCAGCUUCCUAUAUUAGCACAUAGCAAAGAUGUACCAGGAAGCCAUACUUUGAUGCUACAUAUAAGUUGCACUGGGGAUUCUCUACUACAGUAGUUACACUUUAAUGGGCAGUGCAAGCUGUGGUUUCCUUCAUGCCCACGUGCUCACCCUUAAUAGGCAGAUUGUGAUUGCCAGACAGGCCCAGAUUUGUGGCGAGGCCACAAAGGCCUGGGCCUAGGGCGGCACAAUUUUAGGGGCUGCAUGCCGCCCCGCUGCAGCAAAAUUUUAACAUUUUGCGGCCAUGUAAUUCAUGCUUUUAGAAGUUUUCUUUUUUGUUUGUUUGUUUGUACGCACAUGAAAAUUUUUACUAAAGCGAAAAAAUUUGAGGUUUUCAUGUUCACCGUUUUUGUUCAACAUUUUAAUUUGUAUGUGCUUUUCAUAUUAGGAUCUUUUAGUAAAUGUUCCAGAGGAAUAAAAUGUGACCUGCAUGUGUAGUGGUGGAGGUGCCGGGGCUAUUAUUUGAAUAAUAAUACAUUUGUAUGUAUCUUUCUUCUUCUCCAUUAUUCCCUAAAGAGAAUUGAAAACUGUCAUCACAUCUCACCUAGACAAUUUUCCAUGUCAUUAUCGUUUUCUAUCGCACAAGGGUGCUUUAUUCUCAUCAUGUGGGUGCAGUUUUAUAUUUCAUUUAUUUCCUUGGGGUCCUCUACAGAGCUGCAAAAAGGUUUGUGCUCCAGUGAAGAAUUCUAAACAAAGGACCAUCAUUAGUAAAUAUGUUGUCAUAAUGUAUAUACUUCCGCAAAGUGUUUCUUAUCUGGGCAGGUAAUUUGUCUGCCCUGAAAUGGGAUAGAGUAGAUUUAUUGCCCUGCAGGUGAUGUGAGUCAGGAAUGUACUGACGCUUUUUACAGUAGGACAGGAAAUGACAGUCUGCGGUUCAGCAGUACAUGCAGUCGUGCAUGCAGUUUAAUGUUCUAGGAAGAAGUGCCCAAAUCACAGAGAACAUGAUCAAUGUAUUCACAGUAUAUUACACACACCCCUACCCCAGACACCAUCAAAAUAUGGGCAUAUUAUCAUAACAGUGAGUUAGCUUUUUUCCUAUUUAUGCACACUGUGAGACCUGCCGCUGUUCAGUGCCUUUGCUUGCUCAUGGGCUUGUGAGCUGCUAGCUGUCUUUAGUAGCACAGAUAUUCUCCCAAAAAACAAUUUCCCACCUCCAGCAUGGUUCCCUUACAGCACUCUCUGAUGGCAAAUAAGAUAGCCGGUAUUUUACAAAGACUAUGUUUAUUUCAACA